UGCAGCACUGAUGUGUACAUGUGUUUCCUGUCAGUCUCACCCCUUGUAUCCCUGGUGGGAAAGAGUACUGUAUGAUAAUGGAUCCGCAGCCCUCAAAGCCCGGCACACUCUGCCAGCUGCGGGUCACCAGCAUCACUCCCUCCGGCUGAGUCCCCGUGUACACCCCGUGGCAGAUGGCACAGUCCUCCGCCGGGUUGUUGUUCCGAGUUUCUUCCAUCAUUGUCUGCUCCUGACAAGUUUCUCUUCCGUGUGUGGAUGCAGAGGAGAGGCGGCGUCAAGGAGGUCAGCUGCCGGUGUCGAUCCACGUCUGCUGAUUGAUUUAAGUUUUGUUACCGUUUACAGGAAAAUCUCACCCACAUACAAGACACAGACUGUUAAAUUCAUUUUCCCGGCAUGAAAAAAAGGUUUAAAGUUCUUUUCAGGAAGUUGGAGAACCUGAAGAAACCCCACAUAUGCACAGGGAGAACAUGCAAACUCCAAGCAGAAAGAUCCCAGGCCCUGACUGGGACACAAACCGGGGAUCUUCUACCUUUGAGGCAACAGAGCUGACCACUGAGGCACUGCACAGCCCCCUGAUGUACAAAAUGAGAUUUACAGAUGCAACACAUCUUUAAAUAACUGACAGUAUGUCCCGACACCUUCAAAUGGACAGAAGAAACCAGCUUCAUACUCAGACAAUGAAGGCAACACUAACUGAAGACCACCGUGACUGAUUGAUGAAAUCUGCAACUGCUGAAAAUUCUGCACAUAAACAAGCUUUUUCUGAAGGAGCACGUGAUGCAGGUGACAGCAUGCAGAGACCUGCCAGCAGUUUCACACUAUGCCACAGGUAAUAAUAAAUAGGGAUGUCCGAUAUUGGCAUAAAAAUGUAAUGUCGGUCAAUAUCAUUAUUGUUUUUCUUUUGCCUAUCAUGAAAACUGAUAAAAUAAUGCCUGGAUUUCGCCUACAUCAUCAAACUGCGUUGUGAAGCCUGUAAACAAGUGUGGCUGCAGAGACAAGCUUGCUGUGCCUGACUGACAAUGUGUCUGUUGUUUGGAAUUCUAAAUUAAUUAAAUAGCCCACAUAUAUCAGUAUCGGUUGAUAUCAGAAUCGGAAAUUGAGAGUUGGACGAUAUUGGCAUAACGGUUAUUGGCAGAAAAGCCGAUAUUGGACAUCCCUAUAAAUAAAGUUUCAAUUAUUCUAAUUAAGAAUUUGAAUCAAAUUUUUGUAUGAUGAAAGAAAGUUAUUCAGCAAAGGGCUAAAAAGUAACACAGGAUACCCUCAAGUGUAUUUCAGAUUCUUGUAUUUUGCUUAAUUUCUCCAUUUCAUUCUGAGUUAUACUUUUUAGUACUGUAUACAUUUAUGCUCACAAUUACUAGUUAAGCUGCUUUUACAGUUAAAAUUAUAAAUGCAAAACAUAUAUCUAAACAUAUAUCUAUACAAUAGAUGUUCAUGAUUAGUUCCAGCUUGAGCAGGUACAACAGCUGAACUCCUACUGUGUAUUAAAUGAUAGGUUUUCAAGGUAUGGUAUAGCAAGGAUUCUACUCGUAUAUCUAUCAGGCAAU